rnacentral:rRNA from 1 species
UACGUAGGGGGCAAGCGUUAUCCGGAUUUACUGGGUGUAAAGGGAGCGUAGACGGAAUGGCAAGUCUGAUGUGAAAGGCGGGGGCUCAACCCCUGGACUGCAUUGGAAACUGCCAGUCUUGAGUACCGGAGGGGUAAGCGGAAUUCCUAGUGUAGCGGUGAAAUGCGUAGAUAUUAGGAGGAACACCAGUGGCGAAGGCGGCUUACUGGACGACAACUGACGCUGAGGCUCGAAAGCGUGGGGAGCAAACAGG